rnacentral:rRNA from 1 species
GAUGAACGCUGGCGGCGUGCCUAAUACAUGCAAGUCGAGCGAACGGACGAGAAGCUUGCUUCUCUGAUGUUAGCGGCGGACGGGUGAGUAACACGUGGAUAACCUACCUAUAAGACUGGGAUAACUUCGGGAAACCGGAGCUAAUACCGGAUAAUAUUUUGAACCGCAUGGUUCAAAAGUGAAAGACGGUCUUGCUGUCACUUAUAGAUGGAUCCGCGCUGCAUUAGCUAGUUGGUAAGGUAACGGCUUACCAAGGCAACGAUGCAUAGCCGACCUGAGAGGGUGAUCGGCCACACUGGAACUGAGACACGGUCCAGACUCCUACGGGAGGCAGCAGUAGGGAAUCUUCCGCAAUGGGCGAAAGCCUGACGGAGCAACGCCGCGUGAGUGAUGAAGGUCUUCCGAUCGUAAAACUCUGUUAUUAGGGAAGAACAUAUGUGUAAGUAACUGUGCACAUCUUGACGGUACCUAAUCAGAAAGCCACGGCUAACUACGUGCCAGCAGCCGCGGUAAUACGUAGGUGGCAAGCGUUAUCCGGAAUUAUUGGGCGUAAAGCGCGCGUAGGCGGUUUUUUAAGUCUGAUGUGAAAGCCCACGGCUCAACCGUGGAGGGUCAUUGGAAACUGGAAAACUUGAGUGCAGAAGAGGAAAGUGGAAUUCCAUGUGUAGCGGUGAAAUGCGCAGAGAUAUGGAGGAACACCAGUGGCGAAGGCGACUUUCUGGUCUGUAACUGACGCUGAUGUGCGAAAGCGUGGGGAUCAAACAGGAUUAGAUACCCUGGUAGUCCACGCCGUAAACGAUGAGUGCUAAGUGUUAGGGGGUUUCCGCCCCUUAGUGCUGCAGCUAACGCAUUAAGCACUCCGCCUGGGGAGUACGACCGCAAGGUUGAAACUCAAAGGAAUUGACGGGGACCCGCACAAGCGGUGGAGCAUGUGGUUUAAUUCGAAGCAACGCGAAGAACCUUACCAAAUCUUGACAUCCUUUGACAACUCUAGAGAUAGAGCCUUCCCCUUCGGGGGACAAAGUGACAGGUGGUGCAUGGUUGUCGUCAGCUCGUGUCGUGAGAUGUUGGGUUAAGUCCCGCAACGAGCGCAACCCUUAAGCUUAGUUGCCAUCAUUAAGUUGGGCACUCUAAGUUGACUGCCGGUGACAAACCGGAGGAAGGUGGGGAUGACGUCAAAUCAUCAUGCCCCUUAUGAUUUGGGCUACACACGUGCUACAAUGGACAAUACAAAGGGCAGCGAAACCGCGAGGUCAAGCAAAUCCCAUAAAGUUGUUCUCAGUUCGGAUUGUAGUCUGCAACUCGACUACAUGAAGCUGGAAUCGCUAGUAAUCGUAGAUCAGCAUGCUACGGUGAAUACGUUCCCGGGUCU